AAUCCAUAGGUUAAUGAGGCGAACCGGGGGAACUGAAACAUCUAAGUACCCCGAGGAAAAGAAAUCAACCGAGAUUCCCCCAGUAGCGGCGAGCGAACGGGGAGGAGCCCAGAGCCUGAAUCAGCAUGUGUGUUAGUGGAAGCGUCUGGAAAGGCGCGCGAUACAGGGUGACAGCCCCGUACACAAAAGCGCAUGUGCUGUGAGCUCGAUGAGUAGGGCGGGACACGUGGUAUCCUGUCUGAAUAUGGGGGGACCAUCCUCCAAGGCUAAAUACUCCUGACUGACCGAUAGUGAACCAGUACCGUGAGGGAAAGGCGAAAAGAACCCCGGCGAGGGGAGUGAAAAAGAACCUGAAACCGUGUACGUACAAGCAGUGGGAGCCCCACCACCAAAGCAUUUGCUGUACCGCGUUGACGGAGCGAAGCGACGUCAAACCGAUAAAACAGCAGUGUAAAGUGAGCCGCAGGGCGCUUUGCGCGACAGCGCAAAGGCAGGCGGUUUCGCGUAGC
rnacentral:rRNA from 1 species